CACGUAGUUAGCCGGUGCUUAUUCUUCAGGUACCGUCAUUAGCCAAAGGUAUUAUCCUCAGCCGUUUCUUCCCUGACAAAAGAGCUUUACAACCCGAAGGCCUUCUUCACUCACGCGGCAUUGCUGGAUCAGGCUUGCGCCCAUUGUCCAAAAUUCCCCACUGCUGCCUCCCGUAGGAGUCUGGGCCGUGUCUCAGUCCCAGUGUGGCUGGUCGUCCUCUCAGACCAGCUACUGAUCGUCGCCUUGGUGAGCCUUUACCUCACCAACUAGCUAAUCAGAUAUCGGCCGCUCCAGGAGCAUGAGGUCUUGCGAUCCCCCACUUUCAUCCUUAGAUCGUAUGCGGUAUUAGCGUAACUUUCGCUACGUUAUCCCCCACUCUUGGGUACGUUCCGAUAUAUUACUCACCCGUUCGCCACUCGCCGCCAGGUUGCCCCGCGCUGCCGUUCGACUUGCAUGUGUAAAGCAUGCCGCCAGCGUUCAAUCUGAGCCAGGA
rnacentral:rRNA from 1 species